rnacentral:lncRNA from 1 species
CUUCCCCAUUAUCCGGCAAAAGAGAGUAUAGUUUUGAUCUCCUUUAUUUGUGCCGUAACAUCAUUUCAACUUCUUUCUCUAAUAGAAGGUUAGUUAUAAUUAUAAUUUUUAUUUAAACAAUAUUAAUAUGCAACAAAGCAUUGCUGUAGUGAUCACGGCCCUUGCGGUCAUCGAUUCAGAUCUCGGAUGAUAUAUCCCCAAAC